GGUGAUUGUAGCCGUUUGACAUGCAAGAGCAGAGUGACUGCUUCAGGCAUGAGGACAUGGGGAACAGACCAAGAUAAAAGGAAGACUUGGAAACAAAGGCUGCAUUCUGAACCACUUCUUUCUAAGUUCUUUACACAGGAGGAGAAGUUGUUAAUGAAUAACCACUAUUGAGUAACUGCCUUGAGAGCACACAGAGAGAGCUAUUCUACCACUAGUUACAUUUUCAUCAAAGGUUAUGCAUUUGUUCCUAAAAUGUCAAAUAUUCCAUAUCGCCCCAAGUAUAAGCUACAGAGGAAUGCUUAGGUAACCAACUGGGACAAAACAAGAGGGAGGAAACAGAAAUACUUCAGAAAAGCUGACCACAGAGGAGACAACCGUAACAAGACCCUACUUGUUCAUGGGACAGGAAGAACCAUCACAAAGGACUCCCGUUCUCAUCUAGAAUUGGUUAUCUUCCAUAAUUCCAAGCAAACUGAAAACAGAGGAAAGGAGAUGAAUCACAUGCUUAAAGUCACAAAGCUGGUAAACCAAGCUGAGCCACUCUCAACAUCGCCAAACCAUGUCCGUGUGGCCAGAACUUUAAAAUGCUGCAUAAACAAGUCUUAAGUAAAAAAAUCACAGUGGGAGAGGGUUUUUUUUUUUGUGUGUUACAGUGGAUUAAGCCACAUCUCUGGAU
rnacentral:lncRNA from 1 species